rnacentral:lncRNA from 1 species
CGGCGGGCUAUCAGGUGAGAGCUGGCGAGGGCGCUGACUGCUUCUGUGUCCGCGUACACCGGGCGCCUGUCCCGCUCCUUCCCGCAUUUCAGCCGGUUAGCUGUGCUUCGUCUCGCAGGCGGGCGUGUUCGCCGGGCGGGGCCGGUUCCGUGGGGUUCGUUGUCAGAGGCGUGCGGGUUGUUUUAGAAACAGGACGAGGGAUCCCGUCUGCCGCUGUCAGACAGUGAAGAGGGCUUCGCUUUCAAAGACCCUUCAGACUCUGAUUAAGGCAGGUGUGCAGGGUCUCAGGUGUGCUGUGAACACCGGUGCUCAGGUGUGCUGGUGCUGAGGUGUACUGUGAAUUCAGGUGUGCUGUGAAUGCAGGCACUCAGGUGUGCUGGUGCUCAGCUCUGCUCUGAAUGCAGGUGUACUCUGAAUGCCGGUGCCCAGGUGUGCUGUGAGUACAGGGUCUCAGGGGUGCCAGUGCUCAGGUGUGCUGUGAACGGCGGUGCUCAGGUGUGCGCGUUGGCCCGGGGUGACAGACAGAAGGAGAUCGAGGUGUACAGUCUGUCAGUGUGCUGUCCAGGGACGGACCAGCCCAGCUCCCCUGCAGCUUUCCCAUCAUUUCCAGUCUGUUGAGCUUUCCUGGACUGUACCACCUCUCCCAUCCUGACGGGGGGAGUCAGGGCGCUGUCGCGCACACACACACACUGAGCCACGGUGGGCGGGGGUCUUGUCCAGUGUCCAGUGUCCAGCGUGUCUGCUCUGUGUGCUCCAGCAUGCUCCAGUCCCGGGCCCGGCGCGGCUCCCUGGCCUCGAGCGACGGAUGUGUGGGCAGCGAGGACGACGCCGACGAGGGCCGGACGGAGGGCGACCUGCUCUUCGCUCAGAAGUGUGCGGAGCUGCAGGGGUUUGUCAGACCCCUCCUGGAGCUGUUGAAUGGGCUGAAGAGAGGACGCUAUGACCGAGGUACACUUCCCCCACACCCCCAGCUGUGGGGUAGGGUGGGGUGGGGCUGUGGUCUCUUGAGGGGCUGUGGGCUCCCGUGGGGCUGUGGAGUGGGGUUGUGGGCUCCCGUGGGGCUGUGGAGUGGGGCUGUGGGCUCCCGUGGGGCUGUGUAGAGGGGCUGUGGGCUGUGGAGUGGGG